CAACCUUGUUUUGGUUCGCUCUGCAGUCUGCAGCCACUUGGAAAUCAUCAGCUGGGAGAAGGGAAUUCUGGGAGCUCUGGCGCUAGGACAGCUUCUCCGGAAAGGAUUAAGUGCGAUCUUGCUCUGAGGCAGUGAGGAUUCUCAGACUAUGAGUACUUUGGGUCUUGUUGGGUGUUAUAACUGAGAUGCCCUGGCCCGAUCCGGGACCACAAAUAUGACAGAAUAGCUUUGUCCCUUUCAUCCCUUCAUCCUGCUGGCUUCAGCUCUCCAACUGGAACCAGGAACCCGUUGGAAGAAGACAGACCCUUUCUCUGGUCUCAGGAUGGGAAACAAGUACUACCCACAGAAUGCCAGCCACACUCAGAGUGCAUUUUCAUGUCCAGAGUGACUGUGUCUCAUAGUACGAUCACGAAAGUCACCACGUGAAUCAUGGAAGUGAGAUACUUGGAAUGGUCUGGGGUUCAGAAAGAUUCAGGACCUUUCUCUCCAAAUAGUGGCUAGCUGGGAGACUGUCCUCACACGCAAAGUCACACACACGCAUCAACCUGAGGAGGAAAGGAAACUGAAGAAAAGCCACCCUGGACAGUAACACUCACCCAGGACCUUUCCUUUCUCCUGACCCUGAACUCACUCUUUCUUAAGCCCUGUCCAGGCAACGGCACACAGGCAUAUUUGACAGUAGUGCCUAGAGGGAAGUUCAGUUGGGUUUCCAGGGGCAUAUGCAGCUGUUGUGGUUCUGUGGCUACCCAGAUGCUGCUGGGGUGAUCUUGGGAGGGAAGUAGAAAGACUCUCCACAUCCCAGGUUUCAGCUGUGUAAGCAACACGAUUGUGAGGAGGAAGAUGAGAGAGACCUCUGUGGGGUCUACCCCAGUGUCCUGUCUUGUAUACUGCUAUGUUAUGUGGCUAUCCAAGUUGUUGAAUAGUUAAUUCUCUAUAAAUAAUUGUUAAAUAAAGUUACUCAAGUUUCCA
rnacentral:sRNA from 1 species